rnacentral:rRNA from 1 species
GACGAACGCUGGCGGCGUGCUUAACACAUGCAAGUCGAACGAAGUGGCGAACGGGUGAGUAACGCGUAAUCAACCUGCCCUUCAGAGGGGGACAACAGUUGGAAACGACUGCUAAUACCGCAUACUGAAGGAGGGGUUUGCGUGUGAAUAGCUAGGUGGAGGGGUAACGGCCCACCAAGGCGAUGAGCAGUAGCCGGUUUGAGAGGAUGAACGGCCAAAUUUGGACUGAGAACAGGCCCAGAAUUCCACGGGAGGCAGGAGUGGGGAAAUUUCCGCAAUGGACGAAAGUCUGACGGAGCAAAGCCGCGGGAGUGAUGAAGGCCUUCGGGUUGUAAAGCUCUGUUAAGCGGGACGCGGUACCGGAAUAGAAAGCCACGGCUAACUACGUGCCAGCAGCCGCGGUAAUAC